UAUGUUUUCAAAUUCACUUUAACCCUAAAGAAGUCGUCGAAACCCAGCAAUAGCUCGCCUUCAUGUUCAUCACAUCCCUUCAUCUAACCCUCGCACCUAGCCCUCUCUCUGUCACACCCUAAAUGGCAUUGUUUUGAAUUAAAAAAAAUAAAAAAUAUUAAUUUUGAAACCUAACAACCCCAGAUUCAGUUCGUCCUACUUCCUCCUCACUCCCACUACCAGUAGCAGCUCCGGCCCAGCAACGUUCUUUGCCACUAUCGUCGGCGUUGACACAGACGGCGACGCUCACCUCGCCUGGGUCCCUCUGGCUUAUUGCUACUACUACAUCUCUAUCGCUGAAUUGCUGCCCAAAAAUCGCCUGUGGCAUCGCCUCUCUAAUAUCCAUCGAAUGACGCCUCUGCUUGCUUCUUCGACGAUGUCAUCGACGACUGAUGCAGGUUGUAGAUUGAAGAGGAACAAUGUCUGCUCAUUCAAGUUUUUUGGUUGUAAAAACCACUCUGUCUUUCUUUUUCUUUUCUAUUUUUUAAAGCUCUGUGGAAUUGUGUGUUAACUUAAUGUGAUAUUUGGAUAAUACCAAGUUCAAAUGGAAGCAUGCUUGGUAAGAUGUGAGCAGCAGUAAUGUAACUAUAAAUGGUUUUGCCAUUUUGAAAAAAAAAAGUAAGUUAAAUAUGUUGAUAGUUUUUUGGUGUUUAAAGUAUUUUCUUUUUGAAGUUUUAUUGUUUGGAAAUGUUACUUAAGAAAUUCUUUUGUUGUAUUGCCAUGUGAUAGUCUUUGAGAAACUAAGAAUUGAAAUUCUGCUACGUAUGAAGUCGGGUUUACUAAUUUUAUUUUUUGCUUUAACAUUAUUGUUUAGGAUAAGUUCACUAGAUUGCUUGAUAGGAGCAAAGAAAGUCCUAAAGCAGUAAAGCAACUUACUCGUCUUUUUCCCAAUAGGGUGCCAAUACAACUUCCUAAGCUAAUCAGUUACUGUGGGAUGGUUCUGGAGGAGAUGACUUUGACAAGAUUACAGUUAAUUGUCUCGGCUCUUACAUGAGAUUACCACACAUGCUGGCAUUCUAUAAACAAAGCUUGGGGCCAAUCCAGCAGCAUUACUUGGUCUUUCUUUUCCGGUGUAGAAAAAAUCAUUAGCUGGAAUAUAAGUCACCAUUUUAUGCAUUUGGCUGAAGGUUUUGUCGAAGACUCUAAGCUUGUGAUAUCUGCAGAAAGCUGGUUCUAAUAAUUUUUAUAUAUUUCCCUCCUAUUGACGUUAAGAAAAUUAAGCAGUAAAACAAAUAGAAUUAUGUGAACUUAAGUUCACCUGUAAACACUAUUUUACAUUUUAUAUGAACUUAAAUUCAUCUUGUAACACUUAUUUUACAUUUUAUUGGUUCAGCCUUAAGUAUGGGCUGAACAUUCUCCAGGACAUUGAAGGUGGAAACAAGAAUUCAAAAAAAUCGCUGAAGGAUGUGGUUAUUGAGAAUGAAUUUGAGAAAAACUGCUUGCUGAUGUGAUUCCUCCAAGUGAUAUUGGGGUCACUUUUGAUGAUAUUAGGACUUUAGAAAAUGUGAAGGACACCUUGAAGGAGUUGGUUAUUCCUCUAUAGAGACCUAAACUCUUUAGCAAAGGACAGGUGGCUAAGCCCUGCAAGGGAAUACUACUCUUUGACCCCCUUGAUACUGGAAAGACAAUGUUUGCGAAGGCUGUAGCAACCGAGGCUCGAGCCAACUUUAUUAACAUUUCAAUGUCUAGCAUUACUUCAAUAGUGUGUUUUAGAUGUUGUAAAUUUUACUUUGCAAAGUGAUGACUUUGCAGUAAAUUUCUUUUCUUUUC